rnacentral:rRNA from 1 species
GUCUUAUUGAGAAUAAUUUUAAGUCAAUCUGCCCAAUGAGUGAUUAAAUGGCUGCAGUAUAAUUGACUGUACAAAGGUAGCAUAAUCAGUUGAUUUUUAAUUGAAAUCUGGAAUGAAAGGAUUAAUGAAAUAUAUACUGUCUCAUAUUUAUUAUAUGAAUUUAAAAUUUUAAUUAAAAUGUUAAAAUUUAUUUAUGGGACGAUAAGACCCUAUAGAAUUUUAUAUUAAAUUAUUUUUAUAUUUAAUAUGAAAUUUAAUUUAAUAUUUAAUUGGGAGAAUUAUUAAAUUUAAUAAAUUUUAAUUUAUGAAAACUUAAAUUAAAGAAUAAAUAUUGAUCUUGAAUUUUAAAUUAUUAGAAUAAAUUACCUUAGGGAUAACAGCGUAAUAUUUUUUUAUAGGUCAUAUAGAAAAAAAUGAUUGCGACCUCGAUGUUGAAUUAAGAUAAAUUUUAAAUGCAGAAGUUUAAUAAUUAAGUCUGUUCGACUUUUAAUAUCUUACAUGAUUUGAGUUCAAAUCGACGUAAGU